AACUAAACGAUUUCUUAGCGUUCGUGGAAAGUGGCCCAUGAUACUUGGCUUGGAGCUGUAUCUCUGGAGUUUACAUCCCUCCAUAUUUAAGUUUAAUACCUCCUCCCACCUUAACUGCCUGCCCCUCCACCACAAAAAUUCAAUCAAGAAAAAAAAAACCCCUAUGAAAUCAACUUAUAACAUAGGUUCCGUUCAACUACCUUCUUAAAUUGGAUGUCAUCGAGAUACUUCUUUCUGUUCAACCGUCUUCUUUUUAGAACUCACUAAAAAAAAUCACCUUCCAUCCAAAAUUAUGACCUUUCGCAUAUUGACCAUUGGAUAUAUAGCUAUAUUUUCUAUAAACAUCGAGAUCCUUGUUCCCUUCUCAGGGGAGAUUAGAGACUACAAAAAUAAGUAACUUUUGCUUUUUAAUUAUUUUCAAUAGUAUAGAUUGAAAUUAACAGUAUGAAUCUUAGAUUUGGAUGUCAAAUUAUAGAUUUUGAAUUUCCAAGGAGCAAAUGGUAUUUACACCUUUUGGAUCUAAAAUGAAUAAGUGAACAUUUAAAUCGAAGUUCUAUACUAUAUUCAUCACGAUCUAUGCCACGAAAAAUACCUAGAAAUUAAGAAUCAUGUAUUUUAGGGGUC
rnacentral:lncRNA from 1 species